AGUGAACGCUGGCGGUAGGCCUAACACAUGCAAGUCGAACGGCAGCACAGUAAGAGCUUGCUCUUACGGGUGGCGAGUGGCGGACGGGUGAGGAAUACAUCGGAAUCUACUUUUUCGUGGGGGAUAACGUAGGGAAACUUACGCUAAUACCGCAUACUACCUACGGGUGAAAGCAGGGGAUCUUCGGACCUUGCGCGAUUGAAUGAGCCGAUGUCGGAUUAGCUAGUUGGCGGGGUAAAGGCCCACCAAGGCGACGAUCCGUAGCUGGCCUGAGAGGAUGAUCGGCCACACUGGAACUGAGACACGGUCCAGACUCCUACGGGAGGCAGCAGUGGGGAAUAUUGGGCAAUGGGCGCAAGCCUGAUCCAGCCAUGCCGCGUGGGUGAAGAAGGUCUUCGGGUUGUAAAGCCCUUUUGUUAGGGAAGAAAAGCAGCAGGUUAAUACCCCGCUGUUCUGACGGUACCCAAAGAAUAAGCACCGGCUAACUUCGUG
rnacentral:rRNA from 1 species